CCAACAGAGCCUAACAGUUACCCACCGUCGCUGUUCCUCGGAAACUAAUCACUUCUAAAAUUACAAUCAGAUCUCAAAUCAAAUGGCCUACAGUAACAAGCUGUUAUUCACGGACUUGGAGUUGAGAUGCAGCCGAAUCUAUUCCCAUUCGGCACCUUAUCGGGGAAUCCUUUUCUACUUAAUGAAGAUUUGAGGGAGGGAGGAGGUUUCCAGAGCUGGAGCGUCUUUUUCUUCUUGCUAUUCCGAGGAGGCGGAACGGAUUUGUCCAAGGUUGGUGAGAAGAUUCUCAGUCUGUACGUUCUGCUAGAUCCAUGGCACUAUUGCCUUCCUCUUCUAGUCGGCCCGAGGUUCCAGCUAGGGCUGCAGCAACUGCAGUUGUUGCUCAUGUGUGUGCAGGGCUGCCUAAUCACCAAAGGUUCACUCUUCCAUUGAGUUCCAAAGGAUUAUGCUCUAUGUGUGGAAGUAGACCUCAGGACUAUCUUUUAUUUUUAAGUUACAUUUUUUUUUCUCUAGGUUGUUAUCUCAUGUAAAACUACUUCUACAAUCUCAGCCUCUACUUGCUUAAUGGUAGAUAUGUUGAUUUGAUGUUGGAAGAAUUCAAGCGCUAUAAAACAAGGCUUGCUCAUGGAGGUAUUCGCAAAGAGCUUCACUAGGUGGCUUCAAUUGUAUAUGCAUGAAUGCAUUAAUGUCAUAGCUGUGAACUAAGAAGAACACAAACUGUUAAUCAUGUGGAAAGGACUUACUAUCUGAAACUAUUUGUCAAGGUUCAAGACCAUCUGUUAGAAUAUGAAGUUGAAAUUGUUGCUGAAAUUCUCAUAGAAGGUCUAUCAAGGGUAAAGAGAUGUACUGAUGAAGGUCAAGCUUUCUUGUCAUUAGAUCUUCAGGUUUUCAUCAAUGGCCUCCAACAUUUUGUUUCCAUAAAUGUCAAGCCAAAGAUACAAAUAGUUGAGACUUUCAUCAAGGUGACUAUGAGCAUAGUAAAUUGCUAUAAAAUUUCUAAAUCACGUGCAAAGUAUGAAGUCAAAGAAGUUUUGUUAGUAUAAUUGGACAUCUGCACCUUGAUCUGUUUGACAUGAAUCUUUACCAAGUUGGAAAUUUUAUAACUGUUACAUCAUUAUAUUGUGGGGCUGAUCAACCUCAUAGCUUCAAUGAAAGGCUGGAAAAGAAAAAACAAAUUGGAAACAAUAGAAAAGAUGGAAUCAGCCAUUGUGUAGUUGGCAAAAUCAUGUGAAGUUUCAGGCUUUACACUACCAUUUAUUUGUUUAAUUCCUUUUCACAGAGUGAUGUAAAUUGAUCUCACUUAAAAACGUGUAGAGUGAAUUACAGGGUUGUAUAAUUUCAGAUGCCUUUCUCUGAUUCC